CUCCGCUUGGUGUAGUUGGUUUAUCACGUUCGACUGUAAUUGCAUUAUGCCAUCGAAAGGUCCCUAGUUCGAUUCUGGGAGCGGAGA
rnacentral:tRNA from 1 species